UCAAAUACUCUCCAUCCAAAUGACAAAGAAAAGAGAAGGGAAAAAAAAAAAGGCCAAAGCUCCCAUUUCUAUCAUUUUAUAUCCCCUCCUACCUCAUAAAAUGAAAUUAAAAACUUAUGAGUAGACACCAUAUUGUUUAACUCGAUGUUUUUGAAUAGUUAUGAAAGAUUCAACUGCCUUAUUUUGCGUAUUUCAGAACUAAAAAAACCAUUUUCCAAAAAAGCUUAUUCCCAUACUUCAGAAUUAAAACCUCUUUGCAUCGGUCACUUUAUUCCAAAAUUUCAAACAGUAACAAAUAUCACAUUCUACUCUGAAGAACCACAGAAACUGAGAGAGCAAAAUGCAGAAGACCCUUCAAUUCAAACCCCAACCUCUCAUCUCAGAAGCAUUCCUUUCUUUCGAUUCAAAUAGCAAGAUCGAGUUUUCUACGAAAUAACAGCAUCUCUGUAACUAGACCCUCCAAUCUCUUUUUUUCCCAAUCAAUUCUCUUCACAUUUGCUUUCACUUUCGAAUCAACCUCUCACACAAAAUCAAAUUAUAUGUGCAAGAAAUAGCAAAAGGCGAUUUGGGUCACAAAGAUCAAGAAAAUUCAUACUCGAAUUGGUUGGUUUCGUUGCGUCAAAUCUCAAUAUCUUACCAGAGCCAUUGGGUUUGCUUAUCGGAGAAUUUGGAAGUGGAAAAACUGGAGAUUAGGGUUUCCUAAGGGUUUUGGAGGGGGAGGCUUUGAUGGGUGGAGGAGGAAGAGGAAGGGAAAGAGAAAGAGAAAGAAGAAGUUGGGAUUUUUAGGGUUUCUCAUGGUCUGGGGUUGUGGUUGGUGUUGGGGAAAGAAAUGGAUAAGGAUGUGUUUUGGGGAGGUUUGGGUUUGGGUUUUGGUUUGGCUCUGUUUGCGGUUUUGAUUAAUGGGUGGAAGAGAGGGGCUAAAGAUUGGAUUUUAGGGUUUUGUUUUAGUGUUCUGUUGGUGGGUGUGGGGUUGAAGAGAGAAGAUUUGCAGAAAUGGGCUAAGGGUUGUAGGGCAAUGGAGAUUGUUAGGACAAGGAGGAGGAGAAGAGCAAUGCAAUAGAAAAGGAGUACUAUGUUGCGAAGUCGAAAAUGAUGGCAAAGUACUGAUAAGGGGAGUGACAACCACAGGUGAAAAAACAGUUUCCAGGUACUCCCAAAUGUUCGAAAUGCAAUCUCAGAACCUCUGUCCACCAGGCCACUUAUCCAUCUCUUUUAGGCUGCCAGGUCCAGUAGAUCCUCAAAAAAUUUCUGGUAAUUUUGGUACUGAUGGAAUUCUUGAAGGAAUUGGGAUGAAGGGUCAACAGCAAAGCUAGUAAUUAAGAUCGUGUUAUAGUCAAGAAACUUUUCACCCAAGCAUGUAGUUGUAUAUAUUCAAUUAGAAUUUCUGGUUUGUAAAGUUUCUGUAUUUUUUCGUCCUGACAAAGAUCUCGGUCCAUGUUCUUGGCGAUGCUUGAACCCUCUACUUUCACGUUGAAAUGAGAGGAUACCACUAGGCUACUGGCCUUGGUGGUAGUUUGCAAAGUUUCUGAAUUUUUUUUGUCCUGACAAAGAUCUCCGUCCAUGUUCUUGGGAUACUUGAACCCCUCUACCUUUCACGUUGGAAGGAGGGGAUACCACUAAGCUACUGGCUUGGUGGUGGUUUGUAAAUAUUUGCAAUGACCAAAUUAAAGUAUUGUAAUAUUUAUGAUAUAUAUAUAUAUAUAUGUGUGUGUGUGGUAUAUAAUUAAUGUUAAAAAAGAAAAAGAAAAAAAAAAAAAAAUGGUGGGACUCACCAUAAUUGCUUUUAUUGGCCAAAAGGCCAUUAUCACCUUAUCUCUCUCUCUCUCUCUCUCCCGAUCUGAUUCUCUCUUCUCCCUUUCUGUUUUUUUUUUUUUCUUUUCUUUUUUUCUUUUGCAAAAUUCAAGCUUCAAUUUCUCUUUCAUUCCUUGGAGUUUUUGGGUGCCGUUUGCGGCAAAUUGAAGAGCUCGGUGAAAUCUUCAAGUUGAUGUAAGCAAUUUCAGCUUUUGGCCACUCUAAGAAUUUUCGAAAAUUUGAACCUAUUUGAAGGAAUUUUACAAAAUUGAGGAUAAGAAAGGGAAAUAGCGGACGACGCUCCUCCACAGGUUUUGACGGUCUUUUCAGGUACCGGACGGUUCCAACCGUAGAGCUUGAUCAUGCGUAUCGAAGACAGACACUCAUUCAAAUGUUUACUUAUGACUUUUCUCUAUGUUUUAGUUUAGGAUUUUAUUUUCAGUAAUUCGUUUUCAGUUGUACUUAUGUUUAGGGGUCCACUAGAGGGAUUCCCGAGUUGUACUCAUGGAGGUUUUGGAAAGUUGGAGUAUAUUUUUAUUCUUUA